CCAAUAGCGUAUAUUAAAGUUGUUGCAGUUAAAAAGCUCGUAGUUGAAUUUCGGGAUUGGCGCAUCGGUCGUGCCUUACGGGGUAUGAACUGGUGCAGUCAAUUUCUCACCUUCUGGAGAACCGCGAUGUCCUUAAUUGGGUGCCGCGGGGAACCAGGACCUUUACUUUGAAAAAAUUAGAGUGUUUAAAGCAGGCAUUUUUGCUUGAAUACAUUAGCAUGGAAUAAUAAAAUAGGACGGCAUGGUUCUAUUUUGUUGGUUUCUAGGACCACCGUAAUGAUUAAUAGUGAUAGUUGGGGGCAUUAGUAUUCAAUUGUCAGAGGUGAAAUUCUUGGAUUUAUUGAAGACUAACUACUGCGAAAGCAUUUGCCAAGGAUGUUUUCAUUAAUCAAGAACGAAAGUUAGGGGAUCGAAGACGAUCAGAUACCGUCGUAGUCUUAACCAUAAACUAUGCCGACUAGGGAUCGGAUGAUGUUAAUUUUAUAAUGACUCAUUCGGCGCCUUACG
rnacentral:misc_RNA from 1 species